AUUGAACGCUGGCGGCAGGCCUAACACAUGCAAGUCGAGCGGAUGAAGGGAGCUUGCUCCUGGAUUCAGCGGCGGACGGGUGAGUAAUGCCUAGGAAUCUGCCUGGUAGUGGGGGAUAACGUCCGGAAACGGGCGCUAAUACCGCAUACGUCCUGAGGGAGAAAGUGGGGGAUCUUCGGACCUCACGCUAUCAGAUGAGACUAGGUCGGAUUAGCUAGUUGGUGGGGUAAAGGCCUACCAAGGCGACGAUCCGUAACUGGUCUGAGAGGAUGAUCAGUCACACUGGAACUGAGACACGGUCCAGACUCCUACGGGAGGCAGCAGUGGGGAAUCUUGGACAAUGGGCGAAAGCCUGAUCCAGCCAUGCCGCGUGUGUGAAGAAGGUCUUCGGAUUGUAAAGCACUUUAAGUUGGGAGGAAGGGCAGUAAGUUAAUACCUUGCUGUUUUGACGUUACCAACAGAAUAAGCACCGGCUAACUUCGUG
rnacentral:rRNA from 1 species